ACCAUCACGUCGAUAGGAGGCAUGUGGACGGGCGGCAACGCCUGAAGCUGAGCCUUACUAAUCGCUCGAUCGGCUUGAUCCUUCAUGA
rnacentral:rRNA from 1 species